rnacentral:rRNA from 1 species
GACGAACGCUGGCGGCGUGCUUAACACAUGCAAGUCGAACGGAAAGGCCCUGCUUUUGUGGGGUGCUCGAGUGGCGAACGGGUGAGUAACACGUGAGUAACCUGCCCUUGACUUUGGGAUAACUUCAGGAAACUGGGGCUAAUACCGGAUAGGAGCUCCUGCUGCAUGGUGGGGGUUGGAAAGUUUCGGCGGUUGGGGAUGGACUCGCGGCUUAUCAGCUUGUUGGUGGGGUAGUGGCUUACCAAGGCUUUGACGGGUAGCCGGCCUGAGAGGGUGACCGGCCACAUUGGGACUGAGAUACGGCCCAGACUCCUACGGGAGGCAGCAGUGGGGAAUAUUGCACAAUGGGCGGAAGCCUGAUGCAGCAACGCCGCGUGCGGGAUGACGGCCUUCGGGUUGUAAACCGCUUUCGCCUGUGACGAAGCGUGAGUGACGGUAAUGGGUAAAGAAGCACCGGCUAACCACGUGCCAGCAGCCGCGGUGAUACGUAGGGUGCGAGCGUUGUCCGGAUUUAUUGGGCGUAAAGGGCUCGUAGGUGGUUGAUCGCGUCGGAAGUGUAAUCUUGGGGCUUAACCCUGAGCGUGCUUUCGAUACGGGUUGACUUGAGGAAGGUAGGGGAGAAUGGAAUUCCUGGUGGAGCGGUGGAAUGCGCAGAUAUCAGGAGGAACACCAGUGGCGAAGGCGGUUCUCUGGGCCUUUCCUGACGCUGAGGAGCGAAAGCGUGGGGAGCGAACAGGCUUAGAUACCCUGGUAGUCCACGCUGUAAACGGUGGGUACUAGGUGUGGGGUCCAUUCCACGGGUUCCGUGCCGUAGCUAACGCUUUAAGUACCCCGCCUGGGGAGUACGGCCGCAAGGCUAAAACUCAAAGGAAUUGACGGGGCCCCGCACAAGCGGCGGAGCAUGCGGAUUAAUUCGAUGCAACGCGUAGAACCUUACCUGGGUUUGACAUGGAUCGGGAGCGCUCAGAGAUGGGUGUGCCUCUUUUGGGGUCGGUUCACAGGUGGUGCAUGGCUGUCGUCAGCUCGUGUCGUGAGAUGUUGGGUUAAGUCCCGCAACGAGCGCAACCCUUGUUCACUGUUGCCAGCACGUUAUGGUGGGGACUCAGUGGAGACCGCCGGGGUCAACUCGGAGGAAGGUGGGGAUGACGUCAAGUCAUCAUGCCCCUUAUGUCCAGGGCUUCACGCAUGCUACAAUGGCUGGUACAGAGAGUGGCGAGCCUGUGAGGGUGAGCAAAUCUCGGAAAGCCGAUCUCAGUUCGGAUUGGGGUCUGCAACUCGACCUCAUGAAGUCGGAGUCGCUAGUAAUCGCAGAUCAGCAACGCUGCGGUGAAUACGUUCCCGGG